rnacentral:rRNA from 1 species
UACAGAGGUCUCAAGCGUUGUUCGGAUUCAUUGGGCGUAAAGGGUGCGUAGGCGGCGCGGUAAGUCGGGUGUGAAAUCUCGGAGCUUAACUUCGAAACUGCAUUCGAUACUGCCGUGCUUGAGGACUGGAGAGGAGACUGGAAUUUACGGUGUAGCGGUGAAAUGCGUAGAUAUCUGAAGGAACAUCAGUGGCGAAAGCGACUUCCUGGACCAAUACUGACGCUCAUGUGCGAAAGCGUGGGGAGCAAACAGG